UACGUAGGGGGCAAGCGUUGUCCGGAUUUACUGGGCGUAAAGAGCGUGUAGGCGGCCAAAAAGGUCCGUUGUGAAAACUGGAGGCUUAACCUCCAGACGUCGACGGAAACCGUAUGGCUAGAGUCCGGAAGAGGAGAGUGGAAUUCCUGGUGUAGCGGUGAAAUGCGCAGAUAUCAGGAAGAACACCAAUGGCGAAGGCAGCUCUCUGGGACGGUACUGACGCUGAGACGCGAAAGCGUGGGGAGCGAACAGG
rnacentral:rRNA from 1 species